rnacentral:misc_RNA from 1 species
GGUUCAGCUUGAAGAGGAUUUGUUGCUCCUAUAAGCUUGCGAGCAGAUGCAACAACACCAACUCCUUCCCAUGCCAUGCACACAACUGGGCCUGAAGUGACAUAGUCGAUCAGCUUAGGAAAGAAUGACUUCUCCUUCAGAUCUUUAUAAUGUUCCUCGGCCAGCUCGGUCGGGCAUUUAAACAACUUGAGUCCCUUGAGCAAGAACCCCUUCUUCUCAAAUCUCGAUAUAAU